CAACAGUUGGAAACGACUGCUAAUACCGCAUAAGCCCACGGAUUCGCAUGGAUCUGCGGGAAAAGGAUUUAUUCGCUUCAGGAUGGACUCGCGUCCAAUUAGCUAGUUGGUGAGGUAACGGCCCACCAAGGCGACGAUUGGUAGCCGGACUGAGAGGUUGAACGGCCACAUUGGGACUGAGACACGGCCCAGACUCCUACGGGAGGCAGCAGUGGGGGAUAUUGCACAAUGGGGGAAACCCUGAUGCAGCGACGCCGCGUGGAGGAAGAAGGUUUUCGGAUUGUAAACUCCUGUCGUUAGGGACGAUAAUGACGGUACCUAACAAGAAAGCACCGGCUAACUACGUGCCAGCAGCCGCGGUAAAACGUAGGGUGCAAGCGUUGUCCGGAAUUACUGGGUGUAAAGGGAGCGCAGGCGGACCGGCAAGUUGGAAGUGAAAACUAUGGGCUCAACCCAUAAAUUGCUUUCAAAACUGCUGGCCUUGAGUAGUGCAGAGGUAGGUGGAAUUCCCGGUGUAGCGGUGGAAUGCGUAGAUAUCGGGAGGAACACCAGUGGCGAAGGCGACCUACUGGGCACCAACUGACGCUGAGGCUCGAAAGCAUGGGUAGCAAACAGGAUUAGAUACCCUGGUAGUCCAUGCCGU
rnacentral:rRNA from 1 species